CCCAGACUCCUACGGGAGGCAGCAGUGGGGAAUAUUGCACAAUGGGGGAAACCCUGAUGCAGCGACGCCGCGUGGGCGAGGAAGUACCUCGGUAUGUAAAGCCCUAUCAGCAGGGAAGAAACAGGACAGUACCUGACUAAGAAGCCCCGGCUAACUACGUGCCAGCAGCCGCGGUAAUACGUAGGGGGCAAGCGUUAUCCGGAUUCACUGGGCGUAAAGGGAGCGCAGGCGGCAUGGCAAGUCUGAUGUGAAAACCCGGGGCCCAACCCCCGGACUGCUUUGGAAACUGUGCUGCUGGAGUGCAGGAGAGGCAAGUGGAAUUCCUAGUGUAGCGGUGAAAUGCGUAGAUAUCAGGAGGAACACCGGUGGCGAAGGCGGCCUGCUGGACUGCAACUGACGUUGAGGCCCGAAAGCGUGGGGAGCAAACAGGAUUAGAUACCCGCGUAU
rnacentral:rRNA from 1 species